GCCAGGUGCAGUGAAGUGCACCUGUAAUCCCAGCUACUCAGGAGGCUGAGGCAGGAGAAUUGCUUGAACCCGGGAGGUGGAGGUUGCAGUGAGCCGAGAUCGCACCACUGCACUCCAGCCUGGGUGACAGAGCGAGACUCUGUCUCAA
rfam:Homo sapiens chromosome 4, GRCh38 reference primary assembly.